UGUCAUCGAGUAUUACUCCGCCAGCAACGGGGAGCCGGACGAAGACGCCUACGACAUGAGGAAGGCGUUGUCCAGAGACGCGGAGAAGAAGUCCAUCGUGCCGCUGCCGCACCCCGUCCGGCCCGAGGACAUCGAGUAGCCGCCGUGUUGGAUGUCCCUUUGUAUAUAAAGCGGUGGCGGCUGUCAGCCAGAGCCACGUUGUACAGACAUUCCACAACAGCAACCAUGCAGUUUCAUUUCCUGUCAAUUCUGAUGUUUUAUUAUGAAGAAGGAAAAUAACACAACACGGGCGCACAAUCAGGACAUCCGCUGCUUCUGGGGUUCAUGUAUUAAAAAUAAAUACAUAAUCAAAGAGA